rnacentral:lncRNA from 1 species
GACAAUACAUAAAUAAAUGGGCAUAGAUUUGUUCCAAUAAAACUACUGAUAGAAGCAGAUGACAAGCUGAAAUUGUCCAUGAAACUCUAGUUUGAAGAUCCCUGAGCUACUUCUGAAGGCUGGAAGUCCAAAAUCAAGGUACCAGUGGAUUUGGUGUCUGGUGAGGGAUAGUUCUCUCUGCUUACAAGAUGGCACUUUGAAGACUACAUCCUAAGGAGAGGAUGAAUGUUGUGUCCUCACAUGGCAGCAGGGACAGCAGGGCAAAAAGCCAAAUGCUAUGUGAAGCCUCUUUUAUAAUCCCAUUCAUAAGGGAGGAGUCUUCCUGACCUAAUCAGCUUGUAAAGACCCCACAUUUGAAUGCUGUUUCCUUGGGGAUUAUGUUUCAACAUGAAGUUUGAAGGCAACGUGAACAUUCAAACUAUAGCCUAUGACAACUGAACUUGGCUUAUAGAAAAAAUUCAAAAAUAUUUACACCAGUAAUUAAAAGGCAGCCUAUAUUAUUACAGAGCAAAUAACAUGUCCAGAUGAUAAUAAUCUGACAUAUUACUGUGAAAAAUUAGGAGUGCUGGGACUUUAAACUGUACUAUGCACGGAAUGUUUUAUCAUUGAAUUUAUAUAGAGAGAGGUGGGUAAAUUCUCCUUUGGG